rnacentral:rRNA from 1 species
AACGAACGCUGGCGGCAUGCCUAACACAUGCAAGUCGAACGAGACCUUCGGGUCUAGUGGCGCACGGGUGCGUAACGCGUGGGAACCUGCCCUUAGGUUCGGAAUAACUCCCCGAAAGGGGUGCUAAUACCGGAUAAUGUCUUCGGACCAAAGAUUUAUCGCCUUUGGAUGGGCCCGCGUUGGAUUAGCUAGUUGGUAGGGUAAAAGCCUACCAAGGCGACGAUCCAUAGCUGGUCUGAGAGAUGAUCAGCCACACUGGGACUGAGACACGGCCCAGACUCCUACGGGAGGCAGCAGUGGGGAAUAUUGGACAAUGGGCGAAAGCCUGAUCCAGCAAUGCCGCGUGAGUGAUGAAGGCCUUAGGGUUGUAAAGCUCUUUUACCCGGGAUGAUAAUGACAGUACCGGGAGAAUAAGCUCCGGCUAACUCCGUG